GGAGAGGUGGCUGAGCGGCUGAAAGCGGCAGGUUGCUAACCUGUUAUAGGACCUUAAAAUCCUAUCGAGGGUUCGAAUCCCUCCCUCUCCG
rnacentral:tRNA from 1 species